GACGAACGCUGGCGGCGUGCUUAACACAUGCAAGUCGAACGGAAAGGCCUCUUUCGGGGGGUACUCGAGUGGCGAACGGGUGAGUAACACGUGAGUAACCUGCCCUUGACUUUGGGAUAACUUCAGGAAACUGGGGCUAAUACCGGAUAGGAGCUCCUGCUGCAUGGUGGGGGUUGGAAAGUUUCGGCGGUUGGGGAUGGACUGGCGGCUUAUCAGCUUUUUGGUGGGGUAGUGGCUUACCAAGGCUUUGCCGGGUAGCCGGCCUGGGAGGGUUCCCGGCGAAAUUGGGAAUAAGAGAGGGCCCAGGCGCCAAUGGGAGGCAGCGGGGGGAAAUUUGGCAAAGGGGGGGGGAGCGUGAGGAGAAAACCCCGGGUGGGGGAAGCCGGCCUUCGGGUGGGAAACGGCUUUCGGUCAAGACGAAGCUUUUGGGACGGGUGGUGGGGAAAAAAGCACCGCUAAACUACGG
rnacentral:rRNA from 1 species